AAGCAGUGGGAGCCACUUCGUGUGGUGACUGCGUACCUUUUGUAUAAUGGGUCAGCGACUUAUAUUUAGUAGCAAGGUUAAGUGAAUAACGGAGCCGUAGCGAAAGCGAGUGUUAACUGCGCGUUUAGUUGCUAGGUAUAGACCCGAAACCCGGUGAUCUAGCCAUGGGCAGGUUGAAGGUUGAGUAACAUCAACUGGAGGACCGAACCCAC
rnacentral:rRNA from 1 species